rnacentral:rRNA from 1 species
GUGGGGAAUCUUAGACAAUGGGGGAAACCCUGAUCUAGCCAUGCCGCGUGAGCGAUGAAGUCCUUAGGGUUGUAAAGCUCUUUCAGCUGGGAAGAUAAUGACGGUACCAGCAGAAGAAGCCCCGGCUAACUCCGUGCCAGCAGCCGCGGUAAUACGGAGGGGGCUAGCGUUGUUCGGAAUUACUGGGCGUAAAGCGCGCGUAGGCGGACCAGAAAGUUGGAGGUGAAAUCCCAGGGCUCAACCUUGGAACUGCCUUCAAAACUCCUGGUCUGGAGUUCGAGAGAGGUGAGUGGAAUUCCGAGUGUAGAGGUGAAAUUCGUAGAUAUUCGGAGGAACACCAGUGGCGAAGGCGGCUCACUGGCUCGAUACUGACGCUGAGGUGCGAAAGCGUGGGGAGCAAACAGGAUUAGAAACCCUGGUAGUCC